CAAGGCUUGACAUAUAGCGAAAAGUGGCAGAGAUGUCAUGUCCGCAAGGGCGCUAUACAGGUGGUGCAUGGUUGUCGUCAGCUCGUGUCGUGAGAUGUUGGGUUAAGUCCCGCAACGAGCGCAACCCUCGUUCUGUGUUACCAGCAUUUAGUUGGGGACUCACAGGAGACUGCCGGGGACAACUCGGAGGAAGGUGGGGAUGACGUCAAAUCAUCAUGCCCCUUAUGUCUUGGGCUGCACGCAUGCUACAAUGGCCGGUACAAAGUGCUGCGAGAUCGUAAGAUUGAGCGAAUCACAUAAAGCCGGUCUCAGUUCGGAUUGAGGUCUGCAACUCGACCUCAUGAAGUCGGAGUUGCUAGUAAUCGUAGAUCAGCAACGCUACGGUGAAUACGU
rnacentral:rRNA from 1 species